rnacentral:rRNA from 1 species
AUAUGAGAGUUUGAUCCUGGCUCAGGACGAACGCUGGCGGCGUGCCUAAUACAUGCAAGUAGGACGCACAGUUUAUACCGUAGCUUGCUACACCAUAGACUGUGAGUUGCGAACGGGUGAGUAACGCGUAGGUAACCUACCUAUUAGAGGGGGAUAACUAUUGGAAACGAUAGCUAAUACCGCAUAACAGUAUGUAACACAUGUUAGAUGCUUGAAAGAUGCAAUUGCAUCGCUAGUAGAUGGACCUGCGUUGUAUUAGCUAGUAGGUAGGGUAAUGGCCUACCUAGGCAACGAUACAUAGCCGACCUGAGAGGGUGAUCGGCCACACUGGGACUGAGACACGGCCCAGACUCCUACGGGAGGCAGCAGUAGGGAAUCUUCGGCAAUGGGGG